rnacentral:rRNA from 1 species
GGNUUAGGCAUGCAAGUCGUACGUGAUCCUUGCUUCGGUGAGGUGAAAGUGGCGAAAGGGUGAGUAAUGCAUAGCUAACCUACCCCUGACCUUGGGAUAACCAGGAGAAAUCUUGGCUAAUACCAAAUAGGCUGGCUUGGUCGCAUGAUCGGGCUAGUAAAGAAGGCCUCUUAACAAUGCUUUCGGUUAGGGACGGAACUAUGUCCUAUCAGCUAGUUGGUAGGGUAAUGGCCUACCAAGGCGAUGACGGGUAGCCGACCUGAGAGGGUGACCGGCCACACUGGGACUGAGAACUGCCCAGACUCCUACGGGAGGCUGCAGUCGAGAAUCUUNCCGCAAUGGGGGCAACCCUGACGGAGCGACGCCGCGUGCGGGAUGAAGGCCUUCGGGUUGUAAACCGCUGUCACAGGUUAUGAAGGGUCUGGCGUUAAUAGCGCUAGACUUUGACAAAGGCCUGGAGAGGAAGCCACGGCUAACUUCGUGCCAGCAGCCGCGGUAAGACGAAGGUGGCGACCGUUGUUCGGAAUCACUGGGCAUAAAGAGCACGUAGGCG